UCCCUGGUAGUCGAGUGGUUAAAACUCUGUGCUUCCACUGCAGGGGCCAUAGGUUCGAACCCUAGUCUGGGAA
rfam:TPA: Bos taurus chromosome 17, whole genome shotgun sequence.